AUACGGAGGGUGCGAGCGUUGUUCGGAAUUAUUGGGCGUAAAGAGCAUGUAGGCGGUCUGUUAAGUCUGGUGUGAAAGCCCGGGGCUCAACCCCGGAAGUGCAUUGGAUACUGGCAGACUUGAGUAUGGGAGAGGAAAGCGGAAUUCCGAGUGUAGGAGUGAAAUCCGUAGAUAUUCGGAGGAACACCAGUGGCGAAGGCGGCUUUCUGGACCAAUACUGACGCUGAGAUGCGAAAGCGUGGGGAGCGAACAGGAUUAGAAACCCCAGUAGUCC
rnacentral:rRNA from 1 species